AAAGGCUGAAACCUGUCGCCUUGGGCGAUUUGUGUAGUUGCGAGUAGCGUGCUUGAUCGCUGCUAGACCCUUUCUUCGUGUAGCAGCCUGCUGUGACGUACCACUGGACGGCGAGCACGACGCUAUCCUACAGCAGGAACGGACACAGCGCAGCUGCGGACAUGUUGAAAUUUAUUGUUUCCUUCGGCGCUGGAGUCUACGCGGGCGUGUAUAUAGCCCAGAACUAUCAGGUACCACGUGUGGAUGAGCCACAAGAACUCUGGCGAAAGAUAAAGGAUUUCGCUGAUCAGUACAGGAAGUCUCCCCCUGGUGUCUAGAAUUCCAAUUUUUGUAUAGCUCUGGCUCAAACUUUGCAAUGUACUGUACUGGAUGCAGGCUGUGCAUUUGCAUUGCAUGGGCACUUAAGUCUACAGUAAGUGUAAAUACAACCCCAGCCUUUACUGCAGCUCUGUCAUGCAAGGACUAUUGUAGGAAAUGAACUUGUUUUAUCAAUGUGCUUGCAUCGUGGUAUUUUGUUAUACAUAGGGGCAUGCAUUUUAUACUGUGGCUAUCUGUACAGAAAACAAGUUAUCGUCUGGAAUAGGCAUUUAAAACUGUGUAUUGAAGUCUGGACUUGCCUACUGCAAGCUAGAGAUUUCAGUCUAGUUGUGGUGGAUUGAAAGAAGCUGAUAUGCAACAAAUUAGUAUUUUGUAGCAUGAACAAUUUUUUAUAAGUGAGAAAAUGGUAAGAAAUGAAUUGUAGUGGUGUCAGGUUUUAGACUAUGGUACAUCACGUGUGAAAUUAGCAUUGGCAGAUUUACAGAAAUCGGCACAAAUGGAAAUCGCAUGGGAAUUAUGUCAACUCACUCUUGUCGUGGGCUAUUCUACUUGUGGAGCCACAGUGAGAUGUGGCAAUUUUCUACGUAACAAAAGUUAUAUAUUGCCACACAUUCAAGAUGGAUUAUCUACUGCUUUGACUUUAUUUCCCUUUGAUGUGCCAGAUUACUGAAAUCUGAGCCCUUUAAGGGACACUAAAGGCAAAUAUUAAGUCGACGAUUGUUGAAACAGCAUUCCAGCAACCUCGUAGUGCUCGUUUUGUGCCAGGGAAAUGCUUAUUUUGAAAGAAAAUCUCAUUUUAGUGGUCCGCACGGCGUUAGCGCACUUCAAAUCACCCGCCUGAAUGGGCUUUCUGACGUAGCAGUUACCAUGCCUAACGUUGCCCGCCUUUACUGCCCGGCCACCGACGCUACAGUUUCUUGCACAACACCAGCCAUCAACCUUGCCAAAACAGCCACGGGCCACUCCGAAACUGUUUAGUUCACUGUAACGGAGCUUAGCUUGGCCAGCAGCAGCAGUAGAGUAUCAGCAGUGUGAAAAUAGCAAGAGCCAAGCACACGCAGCAGUACGCGAUAGCAAAACUACUAUUGAGGCGCGCAGCUCGGCGGAAAAAGAACUUAUGAACCACUCGCGCCGUUCUCCAUGGUAAUGCCAAGAGAUUCUUUUUUCCCACAAAUCAAACAGAAACGAAUAAGCAGCAUUUUAUUACGUCUUGUAAUGCACGGAAGGUUCUUUUCUAGCGCAACUAGUUUGAUUACUAGUGGUUAAUUGCACUGUGUACUCUUGACAUCAUUGGGAAUAUUUCCAAAAUGUCCCAUUCAUGGCGCACAUCAUGUCCUACAUUUACCUUAAUUUCUCGAUUAGUAGAGCAUUGCUGUUGAUUACAUUUGACAUUUUACACAUUCUCACACAUUGACCUUUCACUUUGACAUAUUGUUAUUUGCCUUUAGUGUCCCUUAAAGACAUUUAAGCUCUUCUGACGUAUUGCUAUUCUUAAAAUGCAGUGUGUGCAUCAAAAGACGAUGACAACGCAACAACUUUACUGUUAUAAGCACUUUAUUAGCAAAACUUGAAAAUUAUACCCAAUGAUUAACUGUACACAGUGCAUGGUGCCAUAAGGGCUCCUUGUUUAGCAAGAUGCAUGUCUGUUCAAUGUCUGAUACGAAACUACAUGAUAUGUACAUAGCACAGCUGUAAUAAAGGCAUACGACAAU
rnacentral:lncRNA from 1 species